rnacentral:pre_miRNA from 1 species
GAGGUACUCCCUCCGUUCUGAAUUACUUGUCGCACGUAUGGAUGUAUCUAGAUGUAUUUUGAUUCUAGAUACAUCCAUUUCAGCGACGAGUAAUUUGGAACGGAGGGAGUAGUAA